rnacentral:rRNA from 1 species
UACAGAGGUCUCAAGCGUUGUUCGGAUUCAUUGGGCGUAAAGGGCGCGUAGGCUGCGGGGCAAGUCGGGUGUGAAAUCUCAGAGCUCAACUCUGAAACUGCACUCGAUACUGCUUUGCUUGAGGACUGGAGAGGAGAUUGGAAUUCACGGUGUAGCAGUGAAAUGCGUAGAUAUCGUGAGGAAGACCAGUGGCGAAGGCGGAUCUCUGGACAGUUCCUGACGCUGAGGCGCGAAGGCCAGGGAGCAAACGGG